GUUCGGUGGAAACGAGAAUAAAGCGUGAAGGAUAACGUUGCGUCAGCAACGGCCCGUAGGGCGAGGCGAAGCCGAGUCAUCCUGCACGACCCACCG
rnacentral:sRNA from 5 species